rnacentral:lncRNA from 1 species
GGUCAUCUGUCAGGGGUGCUUUGCUUGUGCUUUUGGUGCACAAAGGCAGAAGGGGGUUGGACUCAAUGGCCCAAGGGGUCUCUUCCAACCCUCUCUUUUAUUAUUAUUAUUAUUAUUAUUAUUAUUAUUAUUAUUAUUAUUAUUAUUAACAUUGAGGCUGGGUGGGCAUGGCCAUCUGUCAGGGGUGCUUUGCUUGUGCUUUCGGUGCACAAAGGCAGAAGGGGGUUGGACUCAAUGGCCCAAGGGGUCUCUUCCAACCCUCUUUUUUGUUAUUGUUGUUGUUGUUGUUAUUAUUAUUAUUAUUAUUAUUAUUGCUUGGUGGCCGACUAUAGUCCGGCCCUCCAACGGUCCAAAGGAUUGUGAACUGGCCCCCUGUUUAAAAAGUUUGGGGACCCCUGCUAACGGUGCUCCAUGCAGUCAUGCCAAUGGCCACAUGACCUUGGAGGUGUCUACGGACAACGCCGGCUCUUCAGCUUAGAAAUGGAGAUGAGCACCAAUCCCCAGAGUCAGACGUGACUGGACUUAAGGGGAAACAUUUACCUUUACCUUUUAUGAAAGCUUAAAUGGGUAAAUUUGUUUAAGUCACUCACUCUCAGCUUGAGGGGAAAGCAAUGACAAACCUUCUCUAAAUAAAUCUUCGGUGUGGUUUGCUGAAGGCAAAUAACAACAAACCCCAGCAGAAGUUCCUCUGGCAUGUUGACGUUAAUUGCUCACAGCAUUCACCUUGAUCAAUCGAUGCUGAGUGCCAUCAGAAAGAAGCACAAUAAAUGCAGGAUGGUCAACGGAGUCUUGCCGACCUGGCUUGAAUCGCUCAGGGUGUUGUCCUAUCAUGAACUUUGAUUUAUGAACAAGGAUGGGAUUAACCCCGGUAUCCAGGAAAUUGGCACACUCCUCCUCUUUUCCCCAAACCCACCUGAAGAACUUGGAGAGGCCUCUUAAAUAAAUUAAAGGCGUAAGCGAAAGUGACGGCAAACAUCGUUGGAGUAUUUAAGUAAGCCACUGAGAACUACCCUUGAUAAUUUAUUCUUGCGAGCAACCUAAUGAUCACCCAACAGGUUUGGUUAAGAAAACGGUUUAUCAGGGCCCCUUGAUAUAGUAGGGUGAAAAAUGUACUGAGCACCUCUGGAUGAUGGAUUGCAAGCUUUAUUCAUACCGAAAAGGAUUGAGAUUUACCCUCUUCAGAGUGGAUUAAGGUGUUUAGACACAAUCACAGCCGAUUCCUCGAAGACAACAGGGGACCCGGUUUUCUCCUUGAUGAGGACUUAAUUUUUAUUGAGAUGCUCGCACCUCCAAAAUGCUCUCCGGGGCUGAAGGGCUGUAAUGCUGUCAAAAAACCUGUCAAAAU